CCUACGGGAGGCAGCAGUCGAGAAUCAUUCACAAUGGGGGAAACCCUGAUGGUGCGACGCCGCGUGGGGGAAUGAAGGUCUUCGGAUUGUAAACCCCUGUCAUGUGGGAGCAAAUUAAAAAGAUAGUACCACAAGAGGAAGAGACGGCUAACUCUGUGCCAGCAGCCGCGGUAAUACAGAGGUCUCAAGCGUUGUUCGGAAUCACUGGGCGUAAAGCGUGCGUAGGCUGUUUCGUAAGUCGUGUGUGAAAGGCGCGGGCUCAACCCGCGGACGGCACAUGAUACUGCGAGACUAGAGUGAUGGAGGGGGAACCGGAAUGCUCGGUGUAGCAGUGAAAUGCGUAGAUAUCGAGAGGAACACUCGUUGCGAAGGCGGGUUCCUGGACAUUAACUGACGCUGAGGCACGAAGGCCAGGGGAGCGAAAGGGAUUAGAUACCCUAGUAGUC
rnacentral:rRNA from 1 species